GGAGGUUGGAGGAUUUGAUAAAAUAAAAUUAAAAAAUAUAAUAAGUUAAAGAAUAAAAUAAACAUAAAACAUUAAAAUGAAACCAUCUUUUCUUAUUCCAUCUUCCCCACCGAUUGUAAGAGGAAGAACAACAAGAAGCCAUUUUUUUGUUUUGAAGGUCUUCGGAACUUGCAUAUAAGUAAAUUAACAAUUCGUUUUUCGUAAAUUUUAUAUUUUUGAGAUCAUUGAAGCUCGGUUUAGCUAAUUUGUGUGUUAUUUUCUGAAAUUGUUAAAGUUCAU
rnacentral:lncRNA from 1 species